UCAAAAAAAAAAAAGCUGUGGCCGAAAAAAACAGAAGUGGUCGAGAGGCCACUUCUGUUCUAUCUAAUCAAAAAAAGAAGUGGCCGAGAGGCCACUUCUUUUUCGUUAGUUUUGUUUUUCGGCCACUUCUUUUUUUGAUUAGACAUGCACGAAAAUCAAAGUGGCCUCUCGGCCACUUCUUCUUCGCUCGUUCGGUUCCAGACUCCAGAUUAACUAAAAUCCAAGAGUGAGCCUCUGAAGAGUAAUAAGAGACGGAAAGAUUUGAGAGAUAGCCCACAAAUUGAGGAGGAGGUCCUGCCCAAAAAAUCCAGCGGAGACUAUUUAAGGUGCGGUUUUUUUGUCCUAUGUUAUUUCAUUAAUUUUGUUAAUAAGUAACUUAAAAAAAUAGUUUAUAAAUUACUUAAAUAAUAAGAUAAUGCAAAAAUUUACUUUAUUAGCUUAAUUUUUUGAUAAGUUGUAAAUUUAUGAUAGAAAUGGAGCCAUCAAGAAAAGCGAACCCUGCAAAGCGUGGUAUUGGCUGGUCUUAUGGGCGAAGACUUGGAAGUGAGGGGCAACGACAUCAGUUUCAAUGCAAGUUUUGCGACAAGGUUUUCAAGGGAGGGGUAACCAGGUUGAAGCAACACUUAGCCGGAAAUUCUGGUGAGGUUGCUACGUGCCCAAAAUAUCCCAGCGAGAUUCGUGUGCUGAUGAGGCAGAAUCUCGCUGAGGUCAAAGAAGCGAAAGAGAUGGCUUCCAAGAAGAGGGCGGAGGUCGAUCGCCGAGCGGCAGAGCCACCUUCCUAUUACUCUAGGGAGCCAGAGAAGGUCGAGGAUCUAGAUGAGGAGGAGACAAAUAUUCAGACGGCCAUGCAUGCAAGCCUGGAUGGUCAGUGGCAGCAGGAGGAGGUGGCCAGGCAUAGGGCUCGAUUUGGGCCCUCUGCAUACGAGUCGGGCGGCGGUUCUGGGAGCACUAGACAAGAUCCAGAGUUCUUGAGGACAACUUCAGUCAGGGAGGGCAUCGGCAAAGAACGUGGCCGGAUUGCAUCUAUGCUGGAUAGUUUUGGUAGCCGAAAGAAGUCAUCUAGAGGAAUUCCACAAGGAGCGACAAUUCAUGAUGUAGAUCCGCAUGCUCUCCCCAACAGAGAUUCAAGGCAGUAGAGGGUAGACACAAUGUGGAUGAAGGAUAAGAAGAAAACUAUGUGGCGAGCUAUUGGAUCCUGGUUUCACUUCAGCCACAUCCCAGCGAAUGUGGCAGACAAUACAUACUACGGGUCUGCCAUUGCCGCCAUACAAGCUGCCGGUCCCGGUGUAGUUCCUCCAGGCCCGAAGAACAUAUACGGUGAGCUUCUUGACAACAAUAAGAAGGAGCUGGAGAAUUGGAUUGACUCCUACAAGAGCAAGUAGCCCAUAUAUGGACUAACCAUCAUGUGCGAUGGUUGGACCGGUCCGACCAGGCGGAGUAUCAUCAACUUCCUGACAUACCGUGAUGCUAAGACCUUCCUCCACAAGUCGGUUGAUGCUUCGGCUUAUGUGCACAACACCUCGUACAUGCUGAAACUUAUGGAGGAUGUGAUUGAUCUGGUAGGAGAGGAGAAUGUCGUGCAGGUCGUCACUGAUAAUGGGCCGCAAUAUAAGGCUGUCGGGCAGAUCUUGAUGGAGCGGCGACCACAUAUUUUCUGGACCCCAUGUGCUGCACAUUGUAUCGAUCUCAUGUUGAUGGACAUUGGAAAGAUCCGUAGGGUGCAACAAACGGUGGAGACAGCCCAACGCAUUACCAGGUAUAUUUAUAACCAUAACUGGGUCCUUUCACUGAUGAGAAAGUAUGCAGGAGGAGAGAUUCUGAGAUCCGGAGUCACACGGUUUGCUGCCAACUUUAUCGCACUUGAUAGCAUACUCGAGAAGAGAGGAGCUCUACGUCAGAUGUUUGCCAGUCCCGAGUGGUAUGAUGUAGAUAUUCUUAUGCCGGCACUGAAGGGAGCAAGAUAGAAGACUUAGUGACGAGACAGCCAUUCUAGCAACGGGCUACUACAAUAGUCAAGGCAAUUAAACCAUUAUAUGAAGUGCUGCAGGCCGUAGAUAGCGAGAUCUACCCCCAGAUGGGGUUUUUGUAUCACAUGAUGGUCAAGGCAAAGGAUCAAAUUAUGGAGGCAGAUCCAGCACACGGCCGGUCAUACAUCAACAUCAUUGAGCAACGGUGGGAAGCGCAAAUGGGUACACCCUGGUUUCAGUACAACAUAGAUGGAAUUGGUAUGGAUGAAACACUUCUGGAUGCUUUGCGUAAUGUGAUUUACAAGAUGGAGCAUGAUCCAGAAAAAGCGACCCUAUGUCUUGAAGAGAGCAAAUUAUUUAGAGAGGGCAGCUACAGUUUUGGCCAACGAGCGGCUGUCGUCAGCAAACACAAUAUGAAUCCAGCUGAAUGGUGGGUGCAUUUUGGCGGAUCCGCGAGAAA